rnacentral:rRNA from 1 species
UACAGAGGGUGCUAAUGUUGUUCGGAAUUAUUGGGCAUAAAGGGUGCGUAGGCGGUCUUUUAAGUCAAUUGCGAAAUUCUGGAGCUUAACUCCAGCGCUGUAAUUGAUACUGAGAGACUAGAGUGUGGGAGAGGUAAAUGGAAUUUGUCGUCGAGGGGUUAAAUCCGUAGACAUGACAGAGAACACCAGAAGCGAAGGCGAUUUACUGGAACACUACUGACGCUGAGGCACGAAAGCGCGGGGAGCAAACAGG